GAUGAAAAUUUAGGCCAAUUAAAUAAAGAGGUCCGACCCUGGCCAACCAAUUUUCAUCCCAACCCCUAUUUGAUCCUAAUCUCCUUAUCCGAACCCACCUACCCCAAGUGCCACCUCUAAAUAGAGUGAUGACCAUAUGAGAGAAUUUCUUUCUAUGCAGCAAUCAAGUUCCUCUUCAUCUCAAGAAAACACUCAAAAUAUAUAUAUAUA
rnacentral:lncRNA from 1 species